rnacentral:lncRNA from 1 species
GUCCUCUUAACCAAGGAGUGUAGAGACACUGGUAUGGCAUACAGGUGAGAUGUAAGGGUACAUCAUCAUUGAACGUGACCAACUCCAGAGUAUUCUGCUGUCGAGAAUGUCUCUGAUGGGAUAUAGGUAUAAGUGUCCCUUAGACCUGAGAUCACCUCAGUGACUUGCAAGCAACUCACUGUGCUUUGGUAUUGGACUAACUGAAUUUUUAAUUCA